ACGAGCACGAGGGGGCGCUGAGUAAAUACAAAUUUAACAUUCACUGCACGACUUGAAUUGAUCCUUAUCCUCAGUGGGUUCAAAGUGAGCAUCUGUGUGGAACUGAAUAAUAAUUCAGCCCAUAGUGUUAUUGCGUUAAUCUAAUCAGUAUUAUCAUCCAUAGCCUAUGUUACCCAAAACUGCAGUGAGCCCAGACCGCAUGGGGAUGCCCGUUACUGAGGAUUUUUCACUGACUCAAAUGGGGGAUUACCUCAUUUCCAUAACAUCAGGAGAGGACGAGGGCGUGAUAGACGCUUGUGAGAAGUAACGCUGUACCUCACGGUCUGCGCUCCUCACUGGGCGACGGGAGAGUGGGUGUGUUUAACGGGAGACUUCAUUCAUAAAAACAAGAAGAUUUAAAAGCCCAAAUUAAAGAGAAGAUCGGGGAAUCGUUUGCGAGCGCUUUGUCUGAUGGAGCACGUGAAUUAUAGUUAGGGGGGACACUCUCUCUGGCUUGGACCAUGAGCAAUGAGUCUGCCAUAUGGACAAACCAGAACAGAACUUACCCCACCGAUGUCCCGUUGUCAUCAGGGACACAGAAUGGCUAUGUCCUCCUGCUGGUCCUCUUGUCCAUCUUUGUGGGGGGGACGGUGGUCCUGCUCUCGGUCCUUCUGAUUGUCUGUCGCCGUUGUUAUGAAGGGGACAGACGCCAUGCAUGGUAAGACCAAUCCCUCACAACAUAAACAUUCAAAGGAUCCUGAACAUACUCAGUUCUGGAUGAACAUUUCUGUCAACCAAUCAGGUCUUUU